AUUGAACGCUGGCGGCAGGCCUAACACCUGCAAGUCGAACGAGUGGCGGACGGGUGCGUAAUGUCUGGGAAACUGCCCGAUGGAGGGGGAUAACUACUGGAAACGGUAGCUAAUACCGCAUACCAUCGGAUGUGCCCAGAUGGGAUUAGCUAGUAGGUGGGGUAACGGCUCACCUAGGCCACGAUCCCUAGCUGGUCUGAGAGGAUGACCAGCCACACGGGAACUGGGAAACUGUCCAGACUCCUAAGGGAGGGAGCAGUGGGGAAUAGUGCACAAUGGGCGCAAGCCUGAUGCAUCCAUGCCGCGGGUAGGAAGAAGGCCUUCGGGUUGUAAAGCACUUUCAGCGAGGAGGCGUUACUCGCAGAAGAAGCACCGGCUAACUCCGUGCCAGCAGCCGCGGUAAUAC
rnacentral:rRNA from 1 species